ACAAAUCAACUCAAAUAACUCAAAUGACAAGCCAAGACCCAAAUUAAUAACAGUUAAACUUUUCAAAUGUAUUGAAUAAAACAAUGGUGUGUUUUGAACCUGAGACAAUACAGAAUAUCACAGUAAGAAAACAGAGAAGACAAGUUUAAUGAAAAACCUAA